rnacentral:rRNA from 1 species
AGAUGCGAUCAUACCAGCUCUAAAGCACCGGAUCCCAUUAGAACUUCGAAGUUAAGCGUGCUUGGGCGAGAGUAGUACAGGAUGGGUGACCUCCUGUGAAGUCCUCGUGUUGCAUUCC